rnacentral:rRNA from 1 species
UGAGCUGUGAUGGGGAGAAGACAUUGUGUCUUCGAGUCGUUGAUUUCACACUGCCGAGAAAAGCCUCUAGAUAGAAAAUAGGUGCCCGUACCGCAAACCGACACAGGUAGUCAAGAUGAGAAUUCUAAGGUGAGCGAGCGAACUCUCGUUAAGGAACUCGGCAAAAUGACCCCGUAACUUCGGGAGAAGGGGUGCUCUUUAGGGUUAACGCCCAGAAGAGCCGCAGUGAAUAGGCCCAAGCGACUGUUUAUCAAAAACACAGGUCUCUGCUAAACCGUAAGGUGAUGUAUAGGGGCUGACGCCUGCCCGGUGCUGGAAGGUUAAGAGGAGUGGUUAGCUUCUGCGAAGCUACGAAUCGAAGCCCCAGUAAACGGCGGCCGUAACUAUAACGGUCCUAAGGUAGCGAAAUUCCUUGUCGGGUAAGUUCCGACCCGCACGAAAGGCGUAACGAUUUGGGCACUGUCUCAACGAGAGACUCGGUGAAAUCAUAGUACCUGUGAAGAUGCAGGUUACCCGCGACAGGACGGAAAGACCCCGUGGAGCUUUACUGUAGCCUGAUAUUGAAAUUCGGCACAGCUUGUACAGGAUAGGUAGGAGCCUUUGAAACGUGAGCGC